rnacentral:rRNA from 1 species
UGGGGAAUAUUGGACAAUGGGGGAAACCCUGAUCCAGCAAUGCCGCGUGUGUGAAGAAGGCCUGAGGGUUGUAAAGCACUUUCAGUGGGGAGGAGGAUUGAAAGGUUAAGAGCUGAUUAAAUGGACGUUACCCACAGAAGAAGCACCGGCUAACUCCGUGCCAGCAGCCGCGGUAAUACGGAGGGUGCAAGCGUUAAUCGGAAUUACUGGGCGUAAAGGGUGCGUAGGUGGUUUGGUAAGUUAUCUGUAAAAUCCCCGGGCUCAACCUGGGCAGGUCAGAUAAAACUGCUGGACUCGAGUAUAGGAGAGGGUAGUGGAAUUUCCGGUGUAGCGGUGAAAUGCGUAGAGAUCGGAAGGAACACCAGUGGCGAAGGCGGCUACCUGGCCUGAUACUGACACUGAGGCACGAAAGCGUGGGGAGCAAACAGGAUUAGAUACCCCCGUAGUCC